GCCUGGGUGGCUCAGUCGGUUAAGCAUCUGACUUUGGCUCAGGUCAUGAUCUCGUGGUUCGUGAGUUCAAGCCCCGCGUCAGGCU
rnacentral:tRNA from 1 species